UGUUCGGAAUUACUGGGCGUAAAGGGCUCGUAGGUGGCCAACUAAGUCAGACGUGAAAUCCCUCAGCUUAACUGGGGAACUGCGUCUGAUACUGGAUGGCUUGAGUUUGGGAGAGGGAUGCGGAAUUCCAGGUGUAGCGGUGAAAUGCGUAGAUAUCUGGAGGAACACCGGUGGCGAAGGCGGCAUCCUGGGCCAACACUGACACUGAGGAGCGAAAGCCAGGGGAGCAAACGGG
rnacentral:rRNA from 1 species